UACGUAGGGUGCAAGCGUUGUCCGGAAUUAUUGGGCGUAAAGAGCUCGUAGGCGGUCUGUCGCGUCGGAUGUGAAAAUCCAGGGCUCAACCCUGGACCUGCAUUCGAUACGGGCAGACUAGAGUUCGGCAGGGGAGACUGGAAUUCCUGGUGUAGCGGUGAAAUGCGCAGAUAUCAGGAGGAACACCGGUGGUGUAAACGGCUUUCUGGACCAUAACUGACGCUGAGGAGCGAAAGCUAGGGGAGCAAACAGG
rnacentral:rRNA from 1 species